GAUGGGGGCAAAUAAGCAAGGGGCCUUGCUUGUCCUUGCAGUAUUUUUGGGAAUGAUCCUUGCUGACUUGGCUUUCCUUUUUGGUUUCUUCUCUUGGAGUACCCCAACUAUAGAGGAAUGAUGAUGUAGGGUUGGGGUUAUAGAAUUUGGAAUUUUUGUUUUUGUGUGUUACCGGUGAUGUUAGUACGAGAAUGCUGUAUUAUUAUGGGUAUAAUCUGUGUUACUAAUGAAUAAAGAGGCCUGGAGCUGUACUGUAUUGAACUCAAAACAUUUCUGUCGGUGGUGGGUGCUGGAAUUGACCUGCAGGUGCUGUGCUGAUCCUAUGCAUCUGCUGCAGCAUUUGACGGUUGCGAGCUGGCAAACUAGGGUCUUCGGUGCCAUGUUAAAAUGAAACUGACUGUGGAGUUAAACAUGAGUGGUAGUUCGGAGCAUGGAAAAAAAGAGAGAAAGAAAGCCGAGUGACAGCACAACCUGAGCCGACAGCGAUAUGCGCUUAAGAUUCCUAGUCCGAAGCCCAGUAAGCGACUCCGACCCGAGCAACAACCAGAACAGCAGGAAGGAGGAGUGGAGUUGCCAUCAGCGAUGACUCUGGCUGGAGCGCCAAUCACGGCCUCACACGACGACACAAAUCACAUGAGACUACCAUAGUAUGCGAGAGAGAGGGGAAGAAGGGAAGAAAUGGUCGCAGGUGGGGGAGUCAACAGGGCCAGGCGUCGGCGCGCCAGUGCUUUGCUUGCCGCGCCCACCAACUCACGCCUCCCUCUCCUCUCCUCUCCUCUCCUCUCCCGUCCCCUGCAAUUUCUUACUCCUUUCCCCCUCCCCUCAUCGCCAUCUCUGAUCUGCUUCGAGGAGGAGGCCUUGCUCUGACUCCUCCGACCACUGCCGCAGCGACUCCUGCCUGCGGCUAAGCCUCCCAGAUCCAACCCACUGCGCCCGACGCGCAAACCUACCUCCCCGCCCGCAGAUCUGCCGCCCGCCAUGGACUCCGGCGCCGGGGGCGGCGGGGUCACGGCCAUCCGCGUGCCCUACCGCCACCUCCGCGACGCCGAGAUGGAGCUCGUCAGCCUCAACGGAACCCCGCGUGCCGGGGACGCACCGCCCAAGGACCCGGAACACCGGAACGGCGACGCGGCACGCCACGAGGGGAGCCGCGGCAGCUCCAGGACCAAGCUCGUGCUCGCCUGCAUGGUCGCCGCCGGCGUGCAGUUCGGCUGGGCGCUGCAGCUCUCCCUCCUCACCCCCUACAUCCAGGUAAACCACCCCCUCUUCCGCUUCGCUCCUUGCUCCAUCGCUCUAGAUCCCUCUCUCUCUCUCUCUGGCUUACCAUUUGGAGUUGGAGAGCAUUUUCGAGUUGUGAAUUGUGAUCCCCCUCUCGUAGGCUGGUGGGUUGUUCGGGCUUUGCAUUUCAUAGGAUACAAAUAGCAGCGCCGCCGAUGGCUUGGCUUGUACCCCUUUCUGUUUUCGAUGACGCAUUUCUGUUCGUACCAGUCACGGAUUGGAGCUACUCGUUCUACGUACUCUUGUCUAUAAAUGUUCGACAAAUGCAGUUACUUUCGGAUACUUCCGUCUGUUGCCAGUAGUAGUAGCAGAUUGAAUUCUCUAGCCCUGGAUGACCAUCUGGCUUGGAGCUUCAUCACUAAGCUAAUAUCAGAUCACGGCCACUGCCACAUCUCUAGAACCCAGACUAGUAGCAGACGAAAAAGCUACCUGGUUUUAAUACCAGCAUCACAUUGGUAAUAUUGAUGUCACAUAAAAAUGCUGGAGUAGUUAUUAAAGCUGUGACAACCACCUGGGUCGUGGCCUGUUUAUGUUUUUCUGACCCCACAUCUAAUUUUGGCUGUGUACUCACAUGCUGCUCAUUUCUCAUUUUUGUGCAGACCCUAGGAAUAGAUCAUGCCAUGGCGUCAUUUAUUUGGCUCUGUGGACCUAUAACCGGUUUUGUGGUAAGUCACCUUAGAGAGAAUACUGUCCUUUUUUGUUCUGAGUCAGGAUACUAAGCUUUACCUUAUAUCUCCGAAUGAUGAUGAGGUGCCUUUCCAGGUUCAACCAUGUGUCGGUGUGUGGAGUGACAAAUGCCGUUCAAAGUAUGGGAGGAGACGACCAUUUAUAUUGGCUGGAUGCCUAAUGAUAUGUGCUGCUGUGAGUUAGAUGAAGUUUCAUAGGUCAUUAUAUCGCCCAUACUCCUCAUGCUCUAAUACAUAGACUUCAUACAUAGGUAACUUUAGUCGGAUUUUCUGCAGACCUUGGUUACAUCUUAGGAGAUACCACUGAGCACUGCAGGUAAUAAUCAAGAUUCUUCCUUUUUGCUAUUUUAUUUACAUCAAGGUUGUUGUCACUGAAAUGCUGACAAUUAUGCUGUUCAGUACAUAUAAAGGUUCAAGGUUUCGAGCUGCUAUUGUUUUCAUACUUGGAUUCUGGAUGUUGGACCUUGCAAAUAAUACGGUGCAGGUAAGCUUAUUCCAAUUUUGCAUGUGAACUGAUGACAUGUCUCCACCAUAUCUUUUUCAACUUUGGUGCUGAAGUUUUAUUGUAACAUUGCAUUACUUUUUAAUGGACGUUCUCCUAACAUUUUGUUCCUCUCUGAUAUGUUUAGGGCCCCGCUCGUGCCCUCCUAGCUGAUCUUUCAGGUGGUUUCUACCUUAAAUUUAAAAUGUUUGUUAAUGCUAGAUUCACCCUUAGUUGUCAAUUAUUGAAUGAUCCUUUCUCUUCUGCAGGUCCUGAUCAGUGUAAUUCUGCAAAUGCAAUAUUCUGUUCAUGGAUGGCUGUUGGAAAUAUUCUUGGCUUUUCAGCUGGUGCGAGUGGGAAUUGGCACAGGUAUGUCUUUUAUGUGUGCUCUUCUGUGCUUGCUUAAACAUGAUUAUGGUUCAGCAGUUGGUAUUUGGUCCUCUUAAUCAGCGCUUCUUGCUCCAUCAAGUUUACAUUGAUUUUUCCCCAAAUUCUCCCUAGUCAACAAAAGCUACUGUUCUGUAUGAAUAUUGAAUUUGCCUGCUUUUGUUAUUUUUGCAGAUGGUUUCCUUUUCUAACAACAAGAGCCUGCUGCGAAGCUUGUGGUAAUUUGAAAGCGGCUUUCUUAAUUGCAGUUGUAAGUUUUCAGUAAUUCUGUAACUGUGCUACUGCCCCUUGGAGUUUGGAGCUAGGAUUUUUUAUGCAUUGUAGAGCUAGCAGAAUCCUUCUUAGGUGUUGCCUUUGAUCCUUUUGAGGACUGUUUACUCUGUAUGCAAAAGCUGAGCAAGCUAUAUUUUCCAGGUAUUUCUUUUGUUCUGCAUGUCUGUUACCCUGUACUUCGCUGAAGAGAUCCCACUAGAACCAAAGGAUGCACAAGGACUAUCUGAUUCUGCUCCUCUACUGAAUGGGUCUAGAGAUGAUGGCCAUACAUUGAAUGAACAAAAUAAUGAAAGACUUCCUAACGGCCAUGUGGAUAGAAACAAUGUCUCAGCCAACUCCAACACCGAGGAAUUUACGGAUGUGAAUUCCAACUUGAACAGGGACAAUGGAGAAGUUUUCAAUGAUGGACCAGGAGCAGUUUUGGUCAACAUUUUGACCAGCAUGAGGCAUCUACCUCCAGGAAUGCAUUCAGUGCUUGUAGUUAUGGCUUUAACAUGGGUAUGCUGUCCAAUUAUACAUAGAUUCAUACCGACCACCUGCUGAGGUCUCUUUUCUAUCUUCAAGAUUGAUGAUGUUACCCUUGCUUUAUUUGCCUUGCAGUUGUCAUGGUUUCCCUUUUUCCUUUUUGACACCGACUGGAUGGGGCGUGAAGUUUACCAUGGGGAUCCAAAUGGAGACUUGAGUGAGAGGAAAGCUUAUGAAAAUGGUGUCCGAGAAGGUGCAUUUGGUUUGCUAUUGAAUUCUGUAAGAACUCGUGAUCAAUUUUGUUUACUAUAAAUUGUAUGUUUAUAUACAUUGCUAGCGAUUCUUGGUGUUUGUAUGCCUCGAGUUCAUAGCUGUAAUAUUUGCUUCAAUUGUAUAGGUUGUCCUUGGUAUUGGUUCCUUCCUUGUUGAUCCAUUAUGUCGGAUGUUUGGUGCAAGAUUGGUUUGGGCAAUCAGCAACUUCACAGUGUUCAUCUGCAUGAUGGCUACGACGAUACUAAGUUGGAUCUCUUCUGAUCUAUACUCGAGUAAACUGCAUCACAUCAUUGGAGCAAAUAAAACAGUCAAGAUUGCUGCAUUGGUUGUUUUCUCUAUUCUUGGAUUACCACUCUCCGUGAGUACCAGAACCGGACUUUAGCAUAUUUUUCUGCCUUAAUUGUGUCGGAAGCUGUCUUAUACUUUGCUCUUAAGCAUUACAGAUCACUUACAGUGUUCCAUUUUCUGUAACCGCCGAGCUGACUGCCGGGACAGGAGGUGGACAAGGUUUGUGUUGUAGAUUUUAUGUAUUAUAAUUUAUAAAUAUAUGCUUGCGUCAUUGUGUGAUUCUAGGUGACUGACAAGGUUUGUGCCAUCUCCAGGUUUGGCUACAGGAGUCCUAAAUCUUGCUAUUGUCGUUCCCCAGGUUAGACAUUCUGUCUGAACGUUCUCUUUCAGGAUGCAUUGUUACUGAAGAUAUCCCAACACCAAUGAUCUCAUUCUGUUUGCAGAUAGUAGUGUCACUCGGAGCAGGUCCAUGGGAUGCUCUCUAUGGGGGAGGAAACAUCCCUGCAUUCGCCUUGGCUUCGAUCUUCUCCCUGGCAGCUGGUGUGCUCGCAGUUCUCAAGCUACCGAAGCUGUCAAACUCGUAUCAGUCUGCCGGUUUCCAUGGAUUUGGUUGAUGCCCUCAAAGCUUUCUGCCGUGUAACAUUCAGAUACGGACCAACACUGAGCCCGGUUUUGCCAUUCGUUUUACAGUGAAAUGAUUCUUUUUCCUGCUACCACUACAGAAUAAUAUUCAAAGUAGACACUAGGAUAGAGAGGCUAGUUAGGUUCAUGUGCAUACGAAGCCAAUGCAAAGGUGUAUCUACUUUUUUGACAGUGUAUGUAAGAGCUGCCCGCACAUAUGGCGGAUAAUUUUACAAGUGAUGUAACACGUUCUGGCCCUAACCUGUGCUCGUUUGUAGCUGUACAACAAGCAUGUUCCCUUAUUUUGUAAAGGAAAGCUGUAUGCCAAGCAGAAUAGCAGAUGUUCUUUGCGCCUUUUCCCAGUUCAUUCGGAGGACACAGAGCUUUGACAUCAAAAUAGUGGUGUCAUUUUGAACAAACUUGAAUACCUUCACUAGGAUAAGAUUUUUGAACAAACUGACCUGAUAAUAUCCAUCUAGCCAGAGUUGCAGCAUGGAAGGAAAACCCAAGACAAUUUGGGCCUGAAAAACCCAAACGGCCCAACUCGAAAUGGAGAAGGCCUGGCUAGAAGCUCCUCAGCCUUCUUCCUGCGUCCUGGCCGCACCGUAAUCCUCUUCGUUCCUACCACCACCGCCGACCGCCAUGGCCGCCGCUGAGGUGGAUCCCGCCCCCAACCCUACCUCCGACCACCCCAACGGAUCCUCCGCGCAGGACCGGAAGAAGUCCCGCGAGAGCGACCGCCGCCGCCGACGCCGCAAGCAGAAGAAGAACAAGGCAGCGUCUAACGCAGCAGAUGCGGAGACCGACGAGGAGGCUGCGCCGGACAGCGCCAAGGAUAACGCCGAUCCGAAACCCCAGGUACGAUGCGCUUCGUAGCAGCAUGGAGCCGUAGGGUUUAGGUUGCAGAUGGUUUUGGCCUGACCUAACCACCUGGUGUUUGGUUUCGCCACAGGUUGAGGUGGAGGUGGAGUACGUGCCAGAGAAGGCCGAGCUUGACGACGCUCUCCUCGCCGACUUCAAGGACAUCUUCGACAAGUUCACCUUCAAGGACUCUCCUGCUGACACCGAGGUAUCACCGUGUCCAGCACUCACCAUUUUUACUAACUCCAAGUAAAGGGAUUGGAGACAGCUGCCUGCACUGGAUUUAGUACUCUCGCUGCUCUGGUGUGAUUUGAUUGUUGGUUUCCUGUUUUGCUGAUAGGACGGUGAGAAGAAGGAUGAGGCUGGCACUGAUGCAGCGAAGAAGGGGGAUGAGUCUGACUCGGACGACGAUGCUCAGGAGGCCCAGCAAAAGAAGGAUGGGGGUGUAUCCAACAAGCAGAAGAAAGUUUGUUCAUCCAAUCACUGCCUGUUUAUUGAUGACAUCUUACGAGGGAUUAUUUUAUGUAUUUAUUACCUUAAAAAAAAAUUUGGUUUGUGCUUUUCCAGCUGCAGCGGAGGAUGAAAAUUGCAGAGUUGAAACAGAUAUGUGCCAGGCCAGACGUGGUUGAGGUAAGGUGUCUCGUAUUAUAGUUAUCUAUUCAUCUGGGAAGUUUAAUGUCUAUACUUGAUUGAAUUUGAUUCCUCUGCUUCCUCCAGUAUUUGUCCAUCUAGCGUUUCAUUGUGCCAAAACCUGCCUUGAAUCCAGAGACGUGUCCAAUGAUGUACUAUUACCUUCCAUCGUUAGAUGAUUCAGUCCAACUAAAACUGCUAAUGAAAAAUUCUUUCCAAUUUCUGGCAUGCAAUUUUAUCCACAUUUUUGUUCUUUGUCCCUAGUAUUGCAUGCUAAGUUUGUGUGGCACAUUAUAAAAACCUUUCUGUUUUACUUGUUUAAUAAUAUGUUGCUACAACCCAUCUUGCACUGUUGUGGUUUGGGUACAUUGCUAGACACGUUUGUUGGCAUUUUAUUUUCACUCUUAAAAAAAAGCUACGAUGGCAUGCACUGAUUCGCACACACCUCUGCAGGCCAAGGUUGCAAUAUUAAACUGAAGAGCACGUUAAACAAUUUUGUGCAUUUAUUCUAACUCUUUAUGUUAUGACUGUAAGAUUGUUUAUGGAUGGGUGUCGUUUGAUACAACUGUGCUCGUGUUGCUAGGUAUGGGAUGCGACUGCAUCAGAUCCCAAGUUACUUGUCUAUCUGAAGUCCUACAGGAACACAGUACCCGUCCCAAGGCACUGGUGUCAGAAGAGGAAAUUCCUGCAGGUUUGUGGUUUAUCUGCCCUGAAUAUGGAUCAUGUUAUUGUAACAUCCCUGGUUUUGGUUAGUCUCUUAAAAGCCUAAUUAGAGUGUUUAAGGGUUUGAACUUAGCACUUAGAUUUCAAAUCUUGUCCUUGAUUAAGUGCAAACUCACUCAAGCACAGCAAACCUCGCAAUUAAAGGCCAAAUUGAACCAAACCAAGUCAAUACAAAGGCUAAAUAUGAAAAAUACCCAAACCAGGUUUGAAUGGUAGCAAACAUCUCAAAAACCCCAAAAGACCAAAUUGAAUUGGAAGUUCAAACACUUAAUUUGGUGAAAAUGCAUUAAAAAGGCUUAAAUUGGGGGCAGUUAAUAAAUUCAAAUUUUAUAUAACAACUUCACCUUUUGCCAAUACAAAAGUUGUAGAACUUUUCAAAAUAAGCAACUUUGCUUAUUUGAACCUUUGCUAGUUUUGAGUGGAACUCGCCUUCGUGUGAGUAUGCUUAACUUCGAUCCUGAACGAGUGGUUUAUCGGGUGAAACCCGAUGGACUACCACUUUAACUUGAUUAAAGUGUCUGCCUGCAUGUGAGGCGGUGUUAAGUACACUUUAACCAGGUUAAUUUUGGUGGUUCCGCCACAGUUAUGUUGCUCAAUUAAUUUAUAGCUGUGCUUCUGUGCUCCUUCAAAAAGUGACUUUGCAAACUAAAUAAAGCAGCACAGUUUAGUAUCUAAAUAGAAGUACUUGCAGAUCGAGCUUAUCUUUCUGCUCGAAUAUUCAGUUGGAAAAGUGGAGAAGUAUAUCAGUUAAUUAAUACUAGCUAAUAAAUAUGCCAUCCUUCUCUGAAUUAGUUACAGAAUGAUUGGGAGUGGAAGGGGUGGGAGAACAUAAUGUCAAUAAGGUUUCACCCCUCUUAUACAGAUAUUGAGAUAUGUAAAUUCUUUGCAGGGAUGAUGUAACAACCUUGGAGCAAGAGCUUGGUGAUACUGUACUUGAGUGGUUUCUAUAGUAUGGAUUUUAGUGUGUUUAAUCUAGUUAAUUUAGGUGAGGCAUCGCUGAGAUUAUGGGUUUUGCUAGGAUCUAUGGCCUUUGACAUUCCUUUGUAACUUGUGCGCACAAGCCUGACUCAAGUCAUUGCAGAUAUUGUUCUUUCCUUUUUAGUAUAUGGUUUUGAAUUCUAUGUUGAACUGAGCAGUGCCAUAACAUUUAUGUUUUCUGAGUUCAUUUUUCACAUUUCAGAUUUUACGUCAUCAUGUUAUUUCUUUCAGGGGAAGAGAGGUAUUGAGAAACAACCUUUCCAACUCCCUGACUUCAUUGCAGCUACUGGAAUAGAAAAAAUAAGACAGGUAAAUUAAGAUCUUGACUUCUAGUACUUUAUUGUGACACAUGGUAGAGGAGUUAUGAGUUGUUUGAAUUUUUCUUUUCAAUUUUACAAACAUAGGUGUCUCAUUACUGUUUCAGGCAUAUAUCGAGAAGGAGGACAGCAAAAAACUAAAGCAGAAGCAGCGAGAGCGUAUGCAGCCCAAAAUGGGAAAGAUGGAUAUAGAUUAUCAGGUCAGUUUGUUCAAAAUUUUAUCCUAGUGAAGGUAUUCAAAUUUGUCCUAGAAGGCAACAUACAAUUUAAGUUUUUCAUAUCACUAUUCUUAUAAAAUUGCCGUCCCCUGCUUCUCUCUGAGAGAGUGUAUUCUAUAGCAUAGAAAGUGUUUUAUUGACUUAAUUUGUCUUGCAAACUUAAUAUCUGUGCAUCUUUUUAGUUACUCCACUUGCUUGCUGUCUCUAAUAGGAUAUUAAUUGUGAUAGCAGCGUUGAUAAUUGAUAUGUAGUUGUAUGGAUAUAAUUGGAUGUAUUUGCCUCAUAUAUUUGGUUUUAUUAUUUAUCUCGUACAUUCAAUUUUCUUGAUUUUACUGUGUCUUGCUUAAAACCUGUUUGUACUUUGGCUCGUUAUUCCAACAUUUAGGCUACUAAAAGUGAUAUUGAAGCAUACUGAUAUGGUAGGGUGUAUUUGUCACAUAUGUUCAGGCUCAGUUCCAACCUUUUAACUCCUGGCAUGAUUUGUUGCGGGCAGGUUUUACAUGACGCUUUCUUCAAAUAUCAAACGAAGCCAAAAUUGACUAGUCAUGGUGACCUGUAUUAUGAAGGAAAGGAGUUUGAGGUAGUUAACAGUUUCUAUUUUGGAAAUGAGAUUCUUUGUAAUUGUUCAUGAGGCCCAGGUGCUCUUCACAUAUGGCUCACUGGGCACAAUGCUAACGUGUGUGCAUAACACAUGGCAGGUCAAACUUAGGGAAAUGAAGCCCGGUGUUCUAUCCCGAGAACUUAAAGAAGCUCUUGGUAUGCCUGAUGGUGCGCCACCUCCAUGGCUUAUAAACAUGCAGGUAAAAGGAAUUUUCAUGCAGCUAGUCCUCUGGUUGAUAAAUCCCUUUGUUAGCAUAUUGACAUCAUAUAAUUUUUGCAGAGAUAUGGCCCACCACCUUCCUAUCCUCAGCUGAAGAUUCCUGGCCUCAAUGCUCCAAUUCCUCCUGGUGCAAGUUUUGGAUAUCGACCUGGAGAAUGGGGAAAACCUCCUGUUGAUGAGGUAUGCUAAUUGCCAAUUUUUCCCCUCCCGGCUCUGAUUUAGUAAAAAUAUUUUCCUCAGUGAACUUAACAUAUUCUCAUGUUAUCUAAUCUAUGGCAGCAUGGGCGCCCCUUGUACGGAGAUGUUUUUGGAGUCCUACAGCAGGAUGAACCGAAUUAUGAUGUAUGUUUAAUUGGCACAGUUUCUUCCUUGAGCCGAAUCUCUAGGAUUUAUGUGUACGAAUUUCUAGGAUUUUUGUGUACUCUUUCCAUGUUGGCAUAGCUGACUAUUGUGUUGCAUCGUAGGAGGAGCCUGUUGACCGUAGCAAGCACUGGGGAGACUUAGAGGAGGAAGAGGAGGAGGAGGAAGAGGAGGAAGAGGAAGAGGAAGAGCCGAUGGAAGACGAAGACAUGGAAGAGGGCAUGCAAUCUGUUGACACCAUUUCAAGGUGCUCGCAUAUUACUUUCUUUGAUUGAUUUAGUUAGUUUUCUUAGGGAUAUAGAACUAGGCCUUGAUGCUUCAUUUUGAAUAGCACUCCCACUGGCGUGGAAACACCUGAUGUUAUCGAUCUUCGGAAGCUUCAGAGGAAAGAACCCGAAAGACAAACAGAGAAGCAGCUAUACCAGGUGAGGGCAUGCCUGUGUUUUUUUGUAGUGUUUGAGGCUAAUCUAUUCAUGUGAAAGUUUUAGUUUGGUUGUUGCAAUUGAUGACCAACAUUUUUAUUGUUUGUAUCUGAAGGUUCUUGAGCAGAAAGAGGAAAGAAUCGCCCCUGGGACACUGUACGGAUCAAGCCACACGUACGUGACACACUCACUGAUCCUGAGAGAUGCCAGUGACUAGUAUUUUUUGUUGUUUUGUUGUAGCUCUAGCAUGCAUGGGUCUCAUUUUGUAUUUUUGUGGCAUCGCAGGUAUGUGCUCGGGGCACAAGACAAAGCUGCUCCCAAAAGGGUGAGCUCCGUAGUCCCUUGCACACUAUGUUUACAUGUAGUAGUAGCUUGUUUGUCUGUAUGGUCCAGUGAGUCAGGGUGACUGAGGUCUUGCUAUGGUUGUGUUUUGCAGGUUGAUCUUCUCAAAAACCAGAAGUCUGAUAAGGUGGAUGUCACCAUACAACCUGAGGAAUUGGAGGUUAUGGAUGACGUAUUGGCGGCCAAGUAAGAUAUAUGACCUGCAUAAGGGUGUUUGGCACGAUAUCUGUUGAUGCGAGCAUAAGUGCUAACAUAUUUUUUCUGAAUCGCAAAACAGGUAUGAAGAAGCACGAGAGGAGGAGAAGCUGCGGAAUCAGAAGGAAGACUUCAGUGACAUGGUGGCCGAGGUACGCGUUUCUGGCACGGUCCUGGUUUAACAAGAGAAUAAAAAUAUUAGCAAAGAUGUGGAAGCCGAACGAAUGAUGAUCGGGGUGGUUUGGUUUGCACAGAACGCAAGCAAGAGGAAGAGAAAGCAGCAGGAGAAGGAUGGGAAAUCGAAGAAGAAGGAAUUCAAGUUCUAGGGGUGAAGAGCUCGACGUCGGCAGACGUCGCUCGUCGAGACCAUGGCGAGAAGAGAUGCCUGUUUGCCUGCCUUCAUCAUCUAUAGAUGCAAAGAAAAUAAGUUUUUACCGUCCGCGCCUUAGAUGUUUUAGAUGUAUAUGCGUGCGUGCAUGGAUGAAUGCUUGUUUCGCCGGAUGAUGCUGUGUUUGUAUAUACCUGUGCGCUGAAGAGCAUGUUGUCGACUAGAGGAGAGCUAUUUCCGUCUUUGCUGCGGAUUCCAUGUUGGAGUGAUGAGCUCACCUCGCCUGUCCGUGUUGUGGCUGGAAUCCCACUCCUUCCUUCAGGACGGGAUGUGCCAUUUUGGAUUGUUUGCGUGAGUGACUUUAACCCUCCCGGAAGAAAGGCGUUGACAUUGCAUGCGAACGGCUCCUAAAAAUUAAGCAUCUGCUCCUUUUUCUUGCAGGUCUCCAAAUGAAAGCCAACCCUUUUCCAGACAGUUGGUGGCCGGGCUGUAAAUGACCGAAUUGAAAGGAUGCAAAUGCCAGGCAAAGUUCAUCAGCAGGGGGGGCACGUGGCAGGUCCAGAAGCAGGACACGCGGACUCUGACUGACGCGCGCGCGCGCCCUGCUAGCUCUUGCUUGCCCUCAAGCCACUGCAGGUCCAUCGGCAUCGCGCUUCCCUUUUGUUCCUAGCUAUCUGCUCCUCCACUCCUUGCAGUGAGCAAAUAUAUAAUGGUGCACGAAAGAGAAAAGAAAAAAAAGGCAUUUUUAUCUCAUUCAUCCUUUAAUUUUCUUUUCUAUGGUUGAGUAUGAGGGUUGUGGGGUCAGCUUGGUAGGCUCCGGCUCCUCCUCCGGUUGCCACGAGAGACUGGUGGAAGGUGACGUGAAAACUUGAAGUUUGGGAACAGUAUUUUUCAAGUCUGUCUAAAGUUGCUUUCAUCAGAUACAUGCCACCGCCACCCGAGACGGUGUAGAGAGCAGACUUAGUAAAGAACUCGACUACCAAAAACCGCACUCUGCAGUCACAAUUAAACAUGAGUCAAAUUCCAUAUGGAGUAAGCAAGACAGUGAUGUUGCACAGAUUUAAUUAGCUUGUUUAAUAAUUGCAGCAAAUUUGAACGUUCAAGACCACCUAACCAAAAAGAUUUGGACAAUCUAAGAAAGGAUGGAGCUGGCAAUGGCUCACCAAACUUACUCGAUUAGUUUAAAGAAAUGGUAAAAUUUACAUACCUAAGUUAUAGCAACAUUCCUAAAUUUAGAGCUUGAUUAUACUUUCUAACAUUGCAGUGCGACAAGGAUGCUAGCAUAAAUAAUGAACCGCGCCGUUUAUCACAAGGAUAGUGUCGUACCUUUGGUCUAUCCCAUUCCACUUCUUCUUCACGAAACUACAGGCUUCCUCAAACCAGCUUUUCUUCGGCACCAUGGAUGUUGGAAUCCAAACACCAGAUUUGUUCUUAGUGUAUGAGCUGAGAGGCCUUGACUCUACCUGUAUUAUGGAAAUAAAUAUCUGAUUCAUUCUGUUUCAAAUUCCUUACUGCAAAAAAUUCAAACAAAGCAAGAAAUGACAAGAGAUUUGCAAGGACAAAUUGGACUCCUUGGCAGGUACACGACGCCGUGGCUGCACAUAUCAUGGUGCCAAAUUCAAUUGCAUCUGCAGGUGAUGAUCCCCUGCUUGCUACUUUUCCCCAAAUCACAUCUCAGCUGUAUCGGACUGUUUGGUGCUUGUUAAUGGAGAAGUGAUUUGAGAUUGCUAACACACUACCGACCAUCCACGUCCUUCCACCCCUUCCACUUCCACUACCGAGCUUCACCUCAACCUCCUUCCACCCGAAAAAUCACAAGCCCACGUCGGUCGCGCACAGAUCGCCCCACCCUGAAGCCGAGCGGCGCCAACAAUCGGUAUUCCUCCCUUUCCCUUCGGCCUUCGCAUCCCUCUCCCCUUGCGGGUCGCUGCGGCGCCGUUGGGCUGCACGUACGAGCCGCUCGACUCUUGCGGACGGAUUUGCAGGUCUACGCAGGCUUGCGGCGUGGGUCGACCCAGCGGGUUAGCGGCUUGGCCCGCGCCGUUUGCAUCCCUACUUCCACCACCUUCCACUACAACUCGAAAUCACAAAUCCAAAUCGCAGGUGAGCCCGAUCGAAGCGGAAGGCCCUGCAACCUCCUUCCACUAGAACUCGAAAUCACAAAUCGAAAUCGCAGUUGAGCCGAUCGAAGCGGAACGCCCCGGAACCCAAAAAUCUAGCCGACCCCGGAACCCAAAACCCUAGCCGAUCCGAUCGAAACGUACCUUACUCAUAGGUACAUUGCUGGCGCGGCGGAUGCUGCUGCUCGCGCUGCGGAGGAUGCGGGAGGUGAGAACGCGAGGCGCCAUGGAAGCCGCCGACGCCGCGCGGGAGGCAGUGGGCGACGCGCUGUCGGGCGCCUCUGGAAAUGGUAAUGGCGACGGCAACUGCUCUCGAAGAAUUGGCGUUGAGGGGGUGAAGGGUUUUAAGGAUGGGUUUGUUGGCUUCCCCGGGUGCGGUCCUGGGCCAAUUGACUUGCUGUCACUGGACCUGGGCUGCUAUUGCUCUGAUGAAGGCCCUCAUAAGAAAGAAAGAAAGAGGAGCGGCGGCAUACCGUGCGGUUGGUUGGCCCCGUGGAACCAGUAGAUGUAUAGAAUCUAGAAAGCCAGAGGCGAUUGGAGCUCGUUGGAAGGAGGAGGCCAUGGUGUUGGAGGCGCUCCUCCAGUGCAGAUGGAAGGCGAGGCGGUGCGCGGGCCGCCGUCUUGGCAGCGACAGAUCGAAGGAACGCUGCUCCUGCCAUUGCCAUUGCCAUGCCCACCAACAAUGGAUUGGAUCUUGUUCGUCUUCUUUCCUGGCCUGGCGAUUAAUGUUAGAGAGAGAGAGAGAGAUCGAAUCGAAUCGACGAAGAAAGGCUGGCUAUGCUAGGGUUGUGUGUGAUUUGUGAUCUUCUCCUCUCUAUUCGGCUGGUUAUAUAUAUUCUACCGUAGAUUCCGCUUCGGCUCCGGCUCCGGCACGGAAUUCGGGAUCGGGACGGAGAUAUGGCAGAACACGGAAGGAACGCGCGCUGGAUCGGGACUCUCUAUGCCCGCCAGGCACAGGCGCACAGCCGAAUCGGAAUCGAGCGGAGAACCAAAGGAGAUCCUAGUGCUAGUCAAUCUCUAGCAGCAGGAGGAAUCCUACCUCGCCUGUCCGUGUAUGGUGGUUGCCCUAGGCUGGAAUCCCACUCCUUCCUUCAGGACGGGAUGUGCCAUUUUAGCUGGUCAUAGCAAUUAAUUAUGAUGCAUGGAAUCGGACAUUGUUGUAUGAAAUGAAGUGAAACCAUCUACUCCUCGAUGCCGGUCUGUGUGUGUCUUAUAAUCUCUUUAUAAACAUUUGAACACGAACAACAUUUGAAUGCCAUGAUCGAUCAUGUAUAACCGGAAAGUGGAAAAACAGUAGUGGGCUAGGCCCCACUUUGAUGAGCUUUCCCCUUUCCUUCUUCCUCGUUUGUGAUCGUUGUUAUUAGGCCCAUUCUGCAUUGGGAUCUGCAUCACCUGUAUGCGCACUCUUUUAUCCAUUCCCUAUCCUUUUUUUCCUCCAGAUUCUUUCGCUCAAAUCAUUCUUGUACAUGCUGCUUGACGUGUUGCCUUUUUAUGUCUCUGUCAUCCAUCUUCUUAUCUCAUAUCUAGCUACAUCCAUUUUUCCACUUUCUGUUGAGUAGUUACUACUCUUUGUUGAAUGAUGACGCUAGCUAGGCCACUAGUCAAUCUGUGUGUCCUGAUGUUUCCUAGCGUAGUAGUAGUAAUCUACUAGUAUUAGGCCUGGUUGAGGAUCUUGAGCCUUUUGUCAGUCUUGGACCUACCUUCUCAUUUUUGUUUGAUCAAUGCAUAUAUAGGUCAGCGACCAGCCCCCUGAGGCACGGAUCAUCUGGUUUUAUUCCAUAAUGUGUGCCAUCAUGAUCUUUCAGUCACUGUUAAUAUCAGUAGAUGCUGUCCAGAGUCAUGUAUUCAGAAGUGGAUAGGAAGGUUGGAACUCUUCUAGCGUCUUCAACUCUGAACAUAAAUAGUAGCUGCAUCACCAAGGUCACGGAAUUCCACUUUUUCCGCAUUUUACAAUAUGCGUGGAGGCAAGAAUCAUCAACACCAAGAUCUGAAGAAUAUUCAUAGGUCUAUCUUGAGGAGCUGGUGGGGAAUAAUAGACCUAAAAAAUGACUCAUAUGAAAAUCUGGCAGUUUUUUUCCCCGAACAAAAAUCUGUCAACUCAAGUUUGAAACUUUGACUUGCUGCGGAUGGAUGAGUCUUGAGUCAUAGGAUGGAUGCUGUUCUUUAUUUCUCCUCUGCCUUAUGCAUAUGUACCAGUGCAGCUAGAUAUGUCGCAUGGUCAUUUGUCAUUUUACUAGCAGCUGCAUGCACUACUGCUAUGUCCUUUACUACCUACUAACCUCUGUAUCAUGCAUGCAAGCUAUAAUCUUGCGAGUAAUUGAACUCCGCAGGUGAUCUCCAUUCUGAUGCAUGUAAGUUCAGACUAUAGUAGUACAUACAGCAUACUAGGAGACUAGGAGUAACUUGAGGAGUGAAAGUACCAUCUCUUGAUUACGGCAUAGAUUGUUUGUGUGACUGACUUUAACCCUCCCGGAAGAAAGGCAGCAUUAACAUAUCAAGUUGACAUUGCAUCCAAACGACUCCUAAAAAUUAAGAAGGUGAUGCAGGUCUUCAAAUUAAAGUCAACCUUUUUCAGACAGUUGGUGGCAGGCUGCAUCGAUCUGUACGCCGCCGGUGAAUGAAUGAAAGGAUGCAAAUGCAAGGCAAAGUUCAUCAGCAGGGGCACGGGGCAGGUCCAGAAGCAGGACACGCGGACUCUGACUGACGCGUAUGUGUGCGCGCGCCCUGCUCUUGCCCUCAAGCCACUGCAGGUCCAUCGCAUCGCGCUUUCCUUUGUUCCUAUCCUAUCUGCUCCUCCACUCCUUGCAGUGAGCAAAUAUAAUGGUGCACGAAACAGAAAGAAAAAGACAUUUAUUUCAUCCUUUAAUUUUCUUUUCGAGAAAGUCACAUUAUGCAACUAUAUAUGAAUUCCACCACCCAACUUAUUUUGCUGCAUUGCGUAUCUAAAAUCAUGGUGUGAUUUUAGUAUUCAGGUUAAGGCAACCAUAGAGUAUGAGGUUUCUAGUUUCUACUCCUGCUAGUAUGCUUUACACAUGGUCUUUGCUGACAUAUUUCUUUUCUUCUUCUUCUUUACAGUACUCCUCUACUUGAUUGCGAGAUUAAGUAAUUUCUUUCUUUCUCUUAUAGUUGUUGGUGACUAUGUAGUAGAAUGUGUGGAGCAAGUCCGUUUUGGCUCUCCACCACUACUCCCAAAUCUUCUUCUCUUCUUAUGGAGCCAGCCAGGAGUCUCCAUUAUUCAACGGCGGGCCCACAAGAAAGAACCAAAAGGCUAAGGCACCCUUCCUUCCCUGUUCCACCACCCCUAACCUCUCGACCAGACCUGCCAGCCAUUUCUCAACGGCCAGUCCAUAAACACACACGCACCAGCUAUCACUGGAUGCAGCGGCAGAUUAACGAAAGGCCAGGAAGAACAGGAGUAGAACCUCCAUCGAGGGACCACUGCAUUCAUCUCCUGAUGCCGUCUCCUGCAGACACAGUAUCCAACUCGAUUCUGCUCUAUCGUCUUUAGUGGCCAUUGAAGACCACCACACUACACUAGCGCUGAUAUCUGUGCAUGGUUUGCAUUCAAUGCUGUGGAUGAGGUUCUUGCUUCAUCUUCUUCCUCUGCGGCCGCCUCGCCUAUUUGGUUAUCUCUAGUGGCAGCAAAGCUUAUAUAGGCGGCAGUCAGUCAUCGCCGUGUUGCAUUGGGUGCUUCUUGGAGGUGACAGCAGAACAGAACUGUUCGUUCUUGGGCUUGGAGAGGGAGGAAGGAUGGUGACCACCAAUCUUGAGGCCUUCCUGGAGGCUGCCACUCCACAGUUGCCAUGGCGGUCGGCUCCCAUGGUGAGACCUCACUCUGCAAAUGUUGGCAUCAACCUUGUAUUUGUAGUCCAUGAUUCAGUAAGUUGUAAAUGCCUUAGUGUAGUCUGAUAUUUUUUUUUAUAAAAAAAAGGUGAAGUCUGAAUUUUCUUGCAAUCAGUACUACUAUCUGACUGAAGGCUGGUCUACCUCCUGAUUCAGCAAAAAUUGGACAGCAAUAGGUAGGAACAGAAUAGAACAUUUUAUUCCUGUAGCAUGAUUGUGACAUUCGCACUUAAUGAUAUGAUACUCUGUAGCGAUUGAUAGUACUAGCAUUCUACUCUUGUCAAAAGUUUUCUGCUGUUACCUGCACCAGGCCCUGCUCUGAGCAAUGCCAAUAAUUCUUUGGUUUUCCUUCUGCUCUUACAAGGAAUGUUUCCAAGGACCAAACGAUGUUUGGCAACUGGACAAGAAAGAUGUGGUGGACUACUUCACCCUUGAGGAUCUAUGGGAGCAUUAUUCUGAGAGCAGCGCAUACGGGCUCAGUGUUCCCGUCCGUCUCGAACAUGGCAAGUUCAUCACCCAGCAUUUUGUUCCCUACUUAUCGGCUAUUCAGAUAUACACCAGCAAGACAUUUGCUGUUCCCAGGUAUGUGCCUAACUACUUACUAGUUUUGAUUAGUUGCAAACAAGAUUGUUCCCUGCUGGGAAACUGACCAUUUUCGCUGUCCCUUGAAUUAAUGAAACCACACAGAAGCAUGGGAAGUGAUGAGACUGAUUCUUGGAGUGAUGAUAGCACUGCUGAGAAGCUUUGUAGGUCUUGGGAUGCUGCAUCAGAUGAUUCAUGCCCCCACCAAGACUUGGAUUCUGUUCCUGCAAAGCAAGGUGGAUACUUGAAUUUCCAGUACAGUGAAUGGGAUCCACCCUAUGAGAGGAUUCCGCUCGCCGACAAGGUAUUUUUCCUAGCAUAAUGUUGGGAUGUUAAAUUGCUUCAGCUUUGGAGUUGGGUAGCCAAUAUUAGCAGCACACAACUCUAGUAAAAUAUUUAUUUGCAUUGAAAGGUAAAUUUGAACUGUUGUGUUGCUGGUAACCAGGUGGCAGAGCUGGCUCAAGAUUACCCCUACUUGACGUCGCUCAGGAGUGCAGAAUUGUCACCUUGCAGCUGGCUAUCCGUAGCAUGGUACUUGGUUUUACACCAAAUUUCACUUCUUUGUAUUAGCCAUGUUUUUUUUACCUCUUUAAGGCAUUACACUGCACUUGUAGUUAGUUGUAGGAUAAAAAAGACAGGAUGUAAUUGCCUUUGAUUAUGGCUAAACAGUAUCCUCUUUGACGAAACAAGAGAAUCCAUUACCUCAAAAAAA
rnacentral:lncRNA from 1 species